rnacentral:rRNA from 1 species
UACGCAGGUGGCAAGCGUUAUCCGGAAUUAUUGGGCGUAAAGCGCGCGUAGGCGGUUUUUUAAGUCUGAUGUGAAAGCCCACGGCUCAACCGUGGAGGGUCAUUGGAAACUGGAAAACUUGAGUGCAGAAGAGGAAAGUGGAAUUCCAUGUGUAGCGGUGAAAUGCGCAGAGAUAUGGAGGAACACCAGUGGCGAAGGCGACUUUCUGGUCUGUAACUGACGCUGAUGUGCGAAAGCGUGGGGAUCAAACAGGAUUAGA